UACGAAGGGGGCUAGCGUUGCUCGGAAUCACUGGGCGUAAAGCGCACGUAGGCGGAUCUUUAAGUCAGGGGUGAAAUCCCGGAGCUCAACUCCGGAACUGCCUUUGAUACUGAGGGUCUCGAGUCCGGGAGAGGUGAGUGGAACUGCGAGUGUAGAGGUGAAAUUCGUAGAUAUUCGCAAGAACACCAGUGGCGAAGGCGGCUCACUGGCCCGGUACUGACGCUGAGGUGCGAAAGCGUGGGGAGCAAACAGG
rnacentral:rRNA from 1 species